rnacentral:rRNA from 1 species
GAAUCGUCCWAACGUUGUUCGGAUUUAYUGGGUUUAAAGGGCGCGUAGGCGGUGCGUUAAGUCGGCGGUGAAAUACUUCGGCUCAACCGGAGAAUUGCCGCUGAAACUGGCGUGCUCGAGGGAGGUAGAGGUGCGUGGAGCUUCCGGUGGAGCGGUGAAAUGCGUUGAUAUCGGAAGGAACACCUGUGGCGAAAGCGAUGCACUGGACCUCAUCUGACGCUGAGGCGCGAAAGCCAGGGGAGCGAACGGGAUUAGAUACCCCGGUAGUCCUGGCCAUAAACGAUGGGGACUAGAGAGUAGAUGCUCCGAUGUAUUUACUCUCGAAGCAAAAGUGAUAAGUCCCCCACCUGGGGAGUAUGGUCGCAAGGSKG